ensembl:lncRNA
CCCAUUUCAGUGUGUUAAUUGAUCAGAAACAGGUCUUCCUGCUCAUCUCAGCCUUCUCUUCUGCUGAUGCAGCCGUUCUGAGGAGAGACGAUCAGGAGCAGCUGCUUGCUGAUCAGAAGCUGCUGCCCAAACGAUCCGGCUGCUGGCGGAUGCCCGGUGGCUGCUCAAUCUUUGGAAAGGUUCAUCCACCAACUUCUCCACCGAUGAUUAAGGAAGAAAUAAUAAAGAAGAUUAAAAACGAUCCAAGCAGUCUGAUAUCAGAACAGAAGUGAGACAUAAGAAGCAUGAAUCUUUUCCUCAAGAAAGCUGUUCUCUUUUGCUUUACCAUUUACCGAUUUGGUGACAAUAAUCAAUAAAUACGUGAUCAAUACCCCGUACUCCCAUGCAGAAAGAAAUGACAGCAAUCCCAGAAUUGUUAGACAUUGAAACAUUUUAAUUGUUUCUCAUAUAAAUUACUUUUUUGGCAGAUUUUUUUUUAUCAUAAAUUACAGUGAGUUCAAAUUGUUGUUAUUUUGUUCUCUAGUUCUGUUGAAAAAAUAAAUGUUUUGUUUUCAAAAUAAAAUGUAAUGGCUACCCUCAAUCAAUCAAUUACAUUUAUAAGUACCAGGACUGAAUUAUUAGAGAAGCAAAUUAAGUGCACAUUUAUUCAGACUAGUACUUCUAAUAUUGUUGAAAAUCUGCUCAGUAAAUGUUAUAAUUCUAGAAAUUGCUUUCAAAUGUCUCCCAUUAUUAGGAUGG